rnacentral:rRNA from 1 species
AUUUGGCGGACGGGUGAGUAAAGCCUAGGAAUCUGCCUGGUAGUGGGGGAUAACGUUCGGAAACGGACGCUAAUACCGCAUACGUCCUACGGGAGAAAGCAGGGGACCUUCGGGCCUUGCGCUAUCAGAUGAGCCUAGGUCGGAUUAGCUAGUUGGUGAGGUAAUGGCUCACCAAGGCGACGAUCCGUAACUGGUCUGAGAGGAUGAUCAGUCACACUGGAACUGAGACACGGUCCAGACUCCUACGGGAGGCAGCAGUGGGGAAUAUUGGACAAUGGGCGAAAGCCUGAUCCAGCCAUGCCGCGUGUGUGAAGAAGGUCUUCGGAUUGUAAAGCACUUUAAGUUGGGAGGAAGGGCAUUAACCUAAUACGUUAGUGUUUUGACGUUACCGACAGAAUAAGCACCGGCUAACUCUGUGCCAGCAGCCGCGGUAAU